rnacentral:rRNA from 1 species
UACGUAGGUGGCAAGCGUUAUCCGGAAUUACUGGGCGUAAAGCGCACGCAGGCGGUCUUUUAAGUUUGACGUGAAAGCUCCCGGCUUAACUGGGAGAGGUCGUUGAAGACUGGAAGACUUGAGGCAAUGAGAGGGGUGUAGAAUUCCCGGUGUAGUGGUGGAAUGCGUAGAUAUCGGGGGGAAUACCAGUGGCGAAAGCGGCACCCUAGCGUUAGCCUGACGCUCAUGUGCGAAAGCGUGAGGAGCGAACGGG